rnacentral:lncRNA from 1 species
GAAGAGUGGACUAGGAGCCUUGAGUGCUCUGAACCACUUAAAAUCACUUUGUCUUUUAUAUUCUUGUUAUAACUGUUAUAUCUAUCAUAAAUGCUUACCUAUUAACUUGGUUUAUUUUAAAGGGGAACACACAAAUCAUAUAUUCCGCUGUGGUUAAUUUAUUAACAAAUCUGACAAAGUAUUUUAAAAAAGAAAAUUUUAAAAUAUCUAUUCAACCCCCCUUCUAGAUAGCUAUAGUGUAUUUGGGAACUAACAAAUAUGUUAAUAAAAUAAAACAAAAUAAAACUUAGACCAUUUAAUUGAAGUUUUAAGUAAGCAGCCUGUCAACAUUUAUGAUAAGUAAUACAUUCUAAUAUAAAUUCACCAUAUCUGAACAUUAUCAUAGAGUUCAAACAAUGAGACAACAAGAAGUAUUAACUUUCUCAUCUCACCUUUGCUGGAAAAGAGGUGUCAAGUAUUCCAUUAAUAUUAAUAAUUGAUGUCAAGAGAUUAAGCUAAAUAAAAGCAGUCUGCCAAUACAACGUAACGACUGCUUGACCCCAUUGUAGCAUUACUUCAAUUGUUACAGACUAAUCCCAUCAAUGCAAUAAUGAGUGAAAAACUUUGAAACAUAACAAACAACAAAAGCAUUUCCUAAAUUCAAUAUAACGUGUACACAUUAUGGGGUAACAAAGCUUUGAAACAUAACAACCAACAAUAAAGCAUUAAGAACCUACUGAGUAAUUAGAGACAACCACAACCUUGAGUCCAGUCUGAUAAGAAAAUUUCUUUGCCUCCUCAUGUAUGUACCCAAAAAGACAAAAGAAAUCAAUCAACUAUAAUAAACUAUAAGCAAAACACACAAACCAAAAUGCGAUUAUAACAUAUUCUACCUGACAAAAUAAUUCUCAAGUUGGAGACAAUAUAAGAGCAAGUGGGUAAGAUAAUUUAAUUUGGCUACUCGGCACCGGUGACAAAUCCUGUCUCAGAAUCCCACUAAUGAUCGAAAAAUAAAACGCUGCUGUUUUACUAAACUCAGUUUGAGCACAAGCCAUGAACCCCCAAUUACAAUCAUUCUCACAUCAACAGACCUCCUCAAUUUGUAAUUUUUAAUAUAUAACAUAAGGAAAUUUAGAAAUGACUUAUCAAAGUAAUUAAAUCAAACUAAUUACUAUAUUUCACAUUAUAUAAAUCAAUCUAAUUUCAUCAUUUUCAUGCUUUCUAACAAAUCAAUUUAGUAACAAAUUUUCAUGCUUUCUAACAAAUCAAUUUAGUAAGUUGUGUUUGUGGAUCAACCUAUAAAACAAUAUCGUGUGAUUAGUUUACUUGUCCAUCUUAGCCUCAAACAAAAAAGGAACGUCCAUAACAAAAGUGCGAGUAGCCUUCAAGUAUGCAAUUGUCAAAAUUCAAGACUUUAAAGUAUAUAUAUUGGCCACAUGUUAUUGGUUGCAAUUCUCAGUUAGGGGUUAGUUGAAGUAAGCACUAUAUAUACUGGAAGGGAAUAUAUGCAUACAUCAUACAUACAAAGUAAGAUAUUUUUUGGCUAUCCAUUAAAAAGCGGCUUCCGCAUUGAAUCCCUCUUUUCUAGAGGUCUCAAAGUAAGGUAUGUUUCCCUUGGAGGCACACCAUGCCCUUGCUUUCUUCUCAAAAACCUAUUUUUAGAAGAGAAGACACAUGCACCCAAUAACUACUAAGAACUGACAGAGCAUCAUACGAGGAAGCUAAAGCAAGUUGAAAUGAAGAAAUAUCAAUUCACCACUUGACUAUUGUCACCAUCAACAUCUAUUUUGUUCCCCAACACAAUAAAUGAAAAAAUUUCAUGUUCAGCAUGGCUGACCUGAAAUUCUAAUAGCAAUUACUCUUCAAGAAUCAAACAUCUAGCCACAUAAUUUAUAUAAAGAUCUCAUCUUGUGUGUAUAAACAUACACACUCAAUAUGUCAAAGUUCAUGACCUUAAUAUUAUCAAAUAUAAUAAUAAUAAUAAUGCUCCCUAAACAUGAAUUAAGUUUAUUAGGAAAUUUUCAAAAAAAGUGUCCACUUAUGAAAUUAGAGUACCAAAUUCGCUAGAUAUCUUGGUCAUUAAUCAUGUAUGUAUAUAACAUGAAUAAGCAACUCCAUAAACAGUUGAAUUGAAAAAAUUGUAGGAAAAUAUGAAGUUUAAUAGCUUAGAAAUACUUAAAACAUAACCUAGCAAAGAAAAAUAAAAACAAAAUUAAAUCAAAAAUUAGGGUUUGAAAAAUGAAUUUACCUCCUCAAUAAAAUGUUCAGAUGAGUAUCAUGAAAUCCAAAAUGAUUUGCAUAAUCAAUAGAGAGUAUUUAUCUAAAAUGAUUUGUUCCUCUAUUGUAACUUUAAAUACUCAAAUUGAAAACUAACCUUUAAUUAGAUGUAACGUACAAUCCCAAUGGAGGAAAAGGUGAACAAAUCAACCGCCGUCAUCGCCAAAAAAUAAUGUUACCUUCGAAAAUUAGGGUUUUGUAUUUCAAAAUUAGGGAUAAAGUGAGAGAAUAGAUAAGAGGGGAAAGAAAGAGGAGAGGGAUGAGGAGGAAGAGGGUUGUGAGUGAGUGGAGAGGCAGAUGGGAGGAAGAGAGCGAUGGAAUUCUGCGUUAGUUUUCUUUUUCU